UGCAUGUAGUUUAGAGAUUGGCUCCAGAGACAGGAUCUACCUAGACUGGGAAGCAAAGCCUAAGCCUUUGCUUUGUAUUCAGAGGAGUGGUGCUUGAGCUCUAAUCUCAUACUCCCCAAGAGUUUUAUAAUGUGGGAUUUUUUGAAUUUUCUGCUUAAGGCAUCAAGGAUAUGGUGUCAGACAGUCUUUCUGAAGGGAAAAAAAGGAAAGGUUGUUUUCUGUUUCUUUUUCCCAGAGGCCAUUAGUGUUGUAUGUUUUUGUUCUGGACUUGCCUUCUAGUUCUCUGCAAAUGUAUCUCCCCAUCUUUUCUCUGCUUCCUGGCUAGAGGAAACAUGCGAGGUGGAUCCGACAAGCAGUGCUUUUUUCUGGCUCUGUGGGUUCCUGUUUCAUGCCAAUGACACUUGGUGGAGCCUGGCUGCCAGACCAAAUGGUUUGUAGCUGCCCUGCUGACAGUGUUGCCAGCAUCGCUGCCUGUAGGAGUGCGCUCCCAGCACAGCCUCUCCAUGCCCUGCUGCCCAGUCAAAUGUGGAGCUCUGCCUUUUGAGUAGCAGAAUUAGAAAAGGAGUGGACUGAGGUGCUUUGACAAGAUAGGAUCAGAAUUGCUAAGUGGAUCAUGGGACAAAUAUUGCAAAAAGAAAAGCUGCACAGCCUGGAGUUUGACAUUGUGUCCUCUGCUCUGUCAAAUGCCCUUCACCCUGCCUGUACCGUUUUUAACCCAUGGAAACUGGAUGUUUGGGAGUCACAAUGAAUAAUGUCUGUUCUGUAUUUACCAAGCACUUCUGGCUGUUGUAAGGUCCAGCAGUGUUAAAAGGUAGGUGCUGGUUCUGGGGGCAGAACUCAUGAGUUUGAUUUGGGAAUGAAAUAGGACAUAUGCUCUUAUGGAACAAGUAAAUCACAGUAUUAGGCACUCCAGCAUGCUGAAUUCAGUGAUACCUUCACUGAAAUAUUAAGAGGAGGAGCAUGUUUGCCACUUUUGCCUCCUAUGUAGCUUACAAAAAUGGAAGAAUAAGUAAAUAAAACAACUUCUUACCCUUAGAGUCUCCUAUAUAGCCCAAGUUCAAUGCACUUACAGAAGCAGUAGGAAACUGGGGUUUCUGUGCUUUCCAUGGAAAAAAAAUACUAUGCUGAGAAAGUCUCCAGAGUUAAGCUUAAUUUGUAGAACAUCUGUAAUGUCAUCUAGCUUCAGGGAGGUUUCUAAAACCACAAGUAGCAGUAAGUGCCUGGGCCAGACAGCAGGCUCAGAGCAAAAGGUCUCUGAUUCUGCUCACUCACAUGCUGCAGCUCCUGGUGCAGGGAGUCCCCAAUCCAAUGGUAAUAAUUUCCAUUUAAUAGUCCUUAACUUUUCUUCUCUACAUCUAAUUACAUUUUGACUCUAUUUAGAAUUCCGGUCUUCACAGCCUCCUGCAACACAUGGUUCUAUAACUUAAGUAAGCUCAGUUUUACACCUGUAGUUAUAGAAUCACAGAAUGGUUUGAGUUGAAAGGGACCUUAGAGAUCACCUCAUUCCAACCCUCUGCCAUGGGCAGUUUGAUAAUUAUUUUUUAUAUCCCUUUGUUCUGACAUUAUGAGGAUCUGACUAAUAUUUCUUCUUCAUCUACUAAUUAUUUUAUAGCAUGUCUACCAUACUCCCACCUGUGAUUCUUUCUUUUACCACCUCAAAACUCCUCAUAAUGCCAUACCUUUGAUCAAAUUUCCCACAUUUUUUUCUCUAUUUAUGUUGCAUCUCUUUUGAAACAGGAGACCAGAACUCCAUAUAGGAAUCAAGACACAGAGUUGUCCUUAAUAAACACAGUAACAUUUA